GGUCCGUUGGCCCAAUGGCAAGGCGUCUGACUACGAAUCAGGAGAUUGCGGGUUCGAUCCCCGUGCGGACCU
rfam:Pseudomassariella vexata strain CBS 129021 BCR38scaffold_31, whole genome shotgun sequence.